rnacentral:rRNA from 1 species
CCUACGGGAGGCAGCAGUGAGGAAUAUUGGUCAAUGGGCGGAACCCUGAACCAGCCAAGUAGCGUGCAGGAUGAAGGCCCUCCGGGUUGUCAACUGCUUUUAUACGGGAAUAACGAGCCUUACGUGUAGGGCUUUGCAUGUACCGUAUGAAUAAGGCACGGCUAAUUCCGUGCCAGCAGCCGCGGUAAUACGGCAGGUCCGGGCGUUAUCCGGAUUUAUUGGGUUUAAAGGGAGCGUAGUCCGCAUGGCAAGCGUGCUGUGAAAUGUCCGGGCUCAACCCGGGCCUUGCAGCGCGAACUGGCGUGCUUGAGUCCGCGGAAGGCAGGCGGAAUUCGUCGUGUAGCGGUGAAAUGCUUAGAUAUGACGAAGAACCCCGAUUGCGAAGGCAGCUUGCUGCAGCGUAACUGACGCUGAUGCUCGAAAGCGCGGGUAGCGAACAGGAUUAGAUACCCCUGUAGUC